rnacentral:tRNA from 1 species
GGCCCAAUGGUGUAAUUGGCAACACGGCAGAUUCUGGUUCUGUUGUUCCAGGUUCGAGUCCUGGUUGGGCUAC